rnacentral:rRNA from 1 species
AAAUUUCAUCGUGAUGGGGAUAGAUCAUUGCAAUUGUUGGUCUUCAACGAGGAAUGCCUAGUAAGCGCGAGUCAUCAGCUCGCGUUGACUACGUCCCUGCCCUUUGUACACACCGCCCGUCGCUCCUACCGAUUGAAUGGUCCGGUGAAGUGUUCGGAUCGCGGCGACGNGGGCGGUUCGCCGCCCCCGACGUCGCGAGAAGUCCAUUGAACCUUAUCAUUUAGAGGAAGGAGAAGUCGUAACAAGGUUUCCGUAGGUGAACCUGCGGAAGGAUCAUUG